UACGUAGGGUGCAAGCGUUGUCCGGAAUUAUUGGGCGUAAAGAGCUCGUAGGCGGUUUGUCGCGUCUGCUGUGAAAACCUAAGGCUCAACCGCGGGCCUGCAGCCGAUACGGGCAGGCUAGAGUUCGGUAGGGGAGACUGGAAUUCCUGGUGUAGCGGUGAAAUGCGCAGAUAUCAGGAGGAACACCGGUGGCGAAGGCGGGUCUCUGGGCCGAUACUGACGCUGAGGAGCGAAAGCGUGGGGAGCGAACAGG
rnacentral:rRNA from 1 species